GACGAACGCUGGCGGCGUGCUUAACACAUGCAAGUCGAACGAUGAAGAAGAGAAACGCGAACUUCGGUUCAACUUUCACUUCGGAUUAGUGGCAGACGGGUGAGUAACGCGUGAGCAACCUACCUCUUACAAAGGGAUAGCCUCGGGAAACCGUGAUUAAUACCAUAUGACACAUUCAUAAGGCAUCUUAAGAAUGUUAAAGCUACGGCGGUAAGAGAUGGGCUCGCGUCCCAUUAGCUAGUUGGUGAGGUAACGGCCCACCAAGGCGACGAUGGGUAACCGGCCUGAGAGGGUGAACGGUCACAGUGGAACUGAGACACGGUCCAAACUCCUACGGGAGGCAGCAGUGGGGAAUAUUGCACAAUGGAGGGAACUCUGAUGCAGCGACGCCGCGUGAGCGAUGAAGGAAUUCGUUUCGUAAAGCUCUGUUCUAUGGGAAGAAAAGGACUGUACCAUAGGAGAAAGCCCCGGCUAAAUACGUG
rnacentral:rRNA from 1 species